AUAAAUGAAUAUGAAAACUCAUAGAAGCUCUUACUGUGCAUAUUUCUUAAAAUGGAAAUAUUUCUUCAAUGACUUAGGAUAUGAGCAAGAAGCUAUUCAGAGGUCAAACUGUUUUUCAAGUACUCCUGGCCCAGAGUUCUGUGAGGCAUCAACUAGAGGACUAUGGCUUUCUCACCUUCAAAUAUGAAUGGCUAAAGUAUGAGUUGCUUGCAAUACUAAUUACUAUGGAAUUGAAGUUUGAAGGUAAAGCCCUCCUGAUGUCUCUCGACCGUUACAGUAUCCUAAAGCGCCAAAUUCACAUUUGUUCUCCUUUAAACCAUCA
rnacentral:lncRNA from 1 species